rnacentral:rRNA from 1 species
UACGAAGGGGGCUAGCGUUGCUCGGAAUCACUGGGCGUAAAGCGCACGUAGGCGGAUUUCUAAGUCAGGGGUGAAAUCCUGGAGCUCAACUCCAGAACUGCCUUUGAUACUGGGAAUCUCGAGUCCGGGAGAGGUGAGUGGAAUUCCGAGUGUAGAGGUGAAAUUCGUAGAUAUUCGGAAGAACACCAGUGGCGAAGGCGGCUCACUGGACCGGUAUUGACGCUGAGGUGCGAAAGCGUGGGGAGCAAACAGG